UACGAAGGGGGCUAGCGUUGUUCGGAAUCACUGGGCGUAAAGCGCACGUAGGCGGAUCUUUAAGUCAGAGGUGAAAUCCCAAGGCUCAACCUUGGAACUGCCUUUGAUACUGGGGAUCUUGAGUCCGGGAGAGGUGAGUGGAACUGCGAGUGUAGAGGUGAAAUUCGUAGAUAUUCGCAAGAACACCAGUGGCGAAGGCGGCUCACUGGCCCGGUACUGACGCUGAGGUGACGAAAGCGUGGGGAGCAAACAGG
rnacentral:rRNA from 1 species